UCCCUGUGGCUCAGAUGGUAAAGAAUCUGCCUGCAAUGCAGGAGACCCGGGUUCGAUUCCUGGGUCGGGAA
rfam:Ovis aries breed Texel chromosome 2, whole genome shotgun sequence.